rfam:Myotis davidii contig96012, whole genome shotgun sequence.
CGUGGUUCUCAGGUGAUGCACCCGGAAUCGGGCUCCCUCCUCUCUGGUUUUGGGUGUGUAACCUGAGAACUGCA